UUUAGGGUCCCUUUUGGGGCUAUUUGGGUCCAUUUAGGGUCCAUUUUAGGACCAUUUAGGACCAUUUAAGGCCAUUUAGGGCCAUUUAGGGUCAUUUAGGGCCAUUUAGGGGUCGUUUUUAGGGUCGUUUUUGGGGUCGUUUUUGGGGUCCCCUCACCAGGAAUGGGGCGGCGCAGUGCCUUUGGGUUCAUUUAGGGUCGUUUUAGGGUCCCUUUUGGGGCCAUUUAGGACCAUUUUGGGGCCAUUUGGGGUCAUUUAGGGCCAUUUGGGGCCAUUUAGGGUCAUUUAGGAUCCUUUUAGGGGCCAUUUAGGGUCAUUUAGGGUCCUUUUAGGGUCGUUUUUGGGGUCGUUUUUGGGGUCCCCUCACCAGGAAUGGGGCGGCGCAGUGCCUUUGGGUUCAUUUAGGGUCCAUUUUGGGGCCAUUUGGGUUCACUUAGGGUCCUUUUUGGGGCCAUUUAGGGUUAUUUAAGACCAUUUAGGGCCAUUUAGGGCCAUUUAGGGACCAUUUAGGACCAUUUAGGGCCAUUUAGGGCCAUUUAGGGUCAUUUAGGGUCCUUUUAGGGUCGUUUUUGGGGUCCCCUCACCAGGAAUGGGGCGGCGCAGUGCCUUUGGGUUCAUUUAGGGUCCAUUUUGUCCCCAUUUGGGUCCAUUUAGG
ensembl:lncRNA